rnacentral:rRNA from 1 species
CGCCCGGGCUUCGGCCUGGUUAUUCAUAACCCUUUGUUGUCCGACUCUGUUGCCUCCGGGGCGACCCUGCCUUCGGGCGGGGGCUCCGGGUGGACACUUCAAACUCUUGCGUAACUUUGCAGUCUGAGUAAACUUAAUUAAUAAAUUAAAACUUUUAACAACGGAUCUCUUGGUUCUGGCAUCGAUGAAGAACGCAGCGAAAUGCGAUAAGUAAUGUGAAUUGCAGAAUUCAGUGAAUCAUCGAAUCUUUGAACGCACAUUGCGCCCCCUGGUAUUCCGGGGGGCAUGCCUGUUCGAGCGUCAUUUCACCACUCAAGCCUCGCUUGGUAUUGGGCAACGCGGUCCGCCGCGUGCCUCAAAUCGUCCGGCUGGGUCUUCUGUCCCCUAAGCGUUGUGGAAACUAUUCGCUAAAGGGUGUUCGGGAGGCUACGCCGUAAAACAACCCCAUUUCUAAGGUUGACCUCGGAUCAGGUAGGGAUACCCGCUGAACUUAAGCAUAUCAAUAAGCGGAGGAAAAGAAACCAACAGGGAUUGCUCUAGUAACGGCGAGUGAAGCAGCAAUAGCUCAAAUUUGAAAUCUGGCGUCUUCGACGUCCGAGUUGUAAUUUGUAGAGGAUGCUUCUGAGUGGCCACCGACCUAAGUUCCUUGGAACAGGACGUCAUAGAGGGUGAGAAUCCCGUAUGCGGUCGGAAAGGCGCUCUAUACGUAGCUCCUUCGACGAGUCGAGUUGUUUGGGAAUGCAGCUCUAAAUGGGAGGUAAAUUUCUUCUAAAGCUAAAUAUUGGCCAGAGACCGAUAGCGCACAAGUAGAGUGAUCGAAAGAUGAAAAGCACUUUGGAAAGAGAGUUAAAAAGCACGUGAAAUUGUUAAAAGGGAAGGGAUUGCAACCAGACUUGCUCGCGGUGUUCCGCCGGUCUUCUGACCGGUCUACUCGCCGCGUUGCAGGCCAGCAUCGUCUGGUGCCGCUGGAUAAGACUUGAGGAAUGUAGCUCCCUCGGGAGUGUUAUAGCCUCUUGUGAUGCAGCGAGCGCC